GUGCUCUCUUCAGCAGCACACAUACUAAAAUUGGAACGAUACAGAGAAGAUUAGCAUGGCCCUUGCACAAGGACAACACACAAAUUUAUGAAGCGUUCUAUAGUAAA